UACUACGAACAGUACGAUGGUUUUGUGGUUCUGCACGGCACUGACACAAUGGCUUAUACCGCAUCAGCCUUGUCCUUCAUGUGUGAACACCUAGGCAAGACAGUCAUCCUUACAGGCUCUCAGGUGCCGAUCUAUGAGUUGAGGAAUGAUGGUCGUGACAACCUGUUAGGUGCUCUGCUUAUUGCUGGCCAGUUUGUGAUUCCAGAAGUCAGUGUCCUGCUGAAACUAGCACCAGAAGUGACACAGCCAUCCCUUUAAGAAAA